UUCGUUAACGAACGAGACCUCGGCCUGCUAACUAGUCACGCGAAUCCUGGAUUCGCGGCCGACUUCUUAGAGGGACUUCCGGUAUCUAGCCGGAGGAAGUGCGAGGCAAUAACAGGUCUGUGAUGCCCUUAGAUGUCCUGGGCUGCACGCGCGCUACACUGAUGAGGGCAGCGAGUCUAUAACCUUGGCCGGCAGGUCUGGGUAAUCUUGUGAAACCUCAUCGUGCUGGGGAUAGAUCAUUGCAAUUAUUGAUCUUCAACGAGGAAUUCCUAGUAAGUGCACGUCACCAGCGUGCGCUGAUUACGUCCCUGCCCUUUGUACACACCGCCCGUCGCUAAUACCGAUUGAAUGGAUGA
rnacentral:rRNA from 1 species